rnacentral:lncRNA from 1 species
GUACGAGGAAAAUCGACAGGAUGGGCGCCGUCUGUUAAAGUCAACAGCCCUGCCCACGCUGUUUCAAUUUCGACCUCGGCCUAAGCGAAGAAGACCUCCUGCGAGGCGGCCUGCCGCAUGUGUACUUGCUGGUACGGAAAACAGCCCUUCCUCAAGUAUUGCUCAAGAAGUUGACCUUGACGACACCGCAGAAGUCAGUCGAGAUAGUAUCUGCUCUUUGGAAGAAACUGCAGUUGAGCGUGAAUGCACUGAAGACAUCUCGCUUUCGGCAUGUGAGCUACGAAAGGCUCUGCAAGACAUGAAAAAGAAAAACAAUGAAUUGCAUGAAAGCUUGUUGUCAGUGAA